GGGACAUUCAGAGUUACGGUGCCUGUCUUCCCAAGUAACCAUUACAUGUGAUGGAUCCCUGCUUUCCUGGAGAUGGCUGAAGACCUACCUGCCAAUGGGAAAUGAACAGGUAUCCUUGAGAUGCCUUGCCAACUGCUAGACAGCAAGUAUGCACUGCUGCUCUGCCAGUGAGCAGGCCAGACAAAUUGCUUUCCAAGCUGUGUAAUGCAAGCCCGAAACAGAGGAAAAUACGAGCAAGUUUACACUUUGAAACAACAUUAAUGUUCACGGAGGAAUGUUUUUAUGUAUCGAAGGAUACAUCUAAAGGAGGCAUCUAAAUCUAAUGGAAGUACAAGGAAAGCCUCACAGACCUCACAGCAUCCCUGACCUUUCCCUCACAUCUGUUCUCCUCUUCCUACGCAUGCAUAUAUACAGAGUCAAAAGAUUUACAAAGCAUGAAAACAAAUGGAGUCAUACAAGUCAUUCAUACUGGGUCACAUCCCUGCUUUGACAAGGUACAAUUUAACCUCAGACUGAACCUGAUUUUCAUAGACCAUGGGGAACAGUUAUAUAACAAUGAACAGCUGAAACAUAAAUAGACAAAGAUUUUACAAACCAAAGCAAAGGCAAAUUAUUAACUUAUUUUUAAAAAUUACUUUUCACACUAGCUUAUCUUGAACUAAAUACUAUAAAACUACAACCUUAGGAAUACCAUUUAUAUGUUAGUUCUCAUCUUGAACAGAUAACUUAUUUGAUAUUUUAUUGAUGAUCCUUAUAUUCUAAAUAAUUUAAAAAGAAUGAAUCUCAAGGAAGAGCUUCAGCCUUAAGAAUAUGUCUCUGUAGUACAGCUUUAUACUGCUUUAGAACUGCAUCUGUAUGUGGUCGGCCCUUGCACAGCCAGAGGAUUCUCAUGUUUGACACUUCUCUGUGGGACACUGUUGCUGUUUCUUUUUCUGAAUGUUGCAAUUAAGGAUUUUUCAAACUGUCCCUGAUGACAGCUAUAGUCAAAUGUACUGAACAGGUUUUUACCUCUCUGAGAAAAAAACUUCUGUAUGACAAUUGUAAGAUGCUAUAUAUUGAAGGCAACCUAAAAAACUAAAAAGAUUAGACAUCCUCCCUCCUCCUCUUUCACCUCUCUUCCCUUAUUCAGAUGCUUAAAAUUCACUCACAUUAUGUCUAAAUUGAACAUUACAUUGCUGUUUAGCAAUAUGUGCAAUAAGAUGAUAAUUCAUAAUACAAAAUCCAAUACCAGCUUAAUGUGGUAAUAGAAAACUGCUUUUACACCCUUCAUUAUAUAGACGUGCUAUAUGCCUUUAUAGUGUUAAUGUGUGGUGCCAUUUUACAGUUAUAGACGAAUACAAAUUCAAUAGAGAAGGGUAAUCAGAAAGAAGAGAGACUGUUACAGUCUGUGCAGUGCUGAAGACUGACCUUGGUUAUUCAUGAGGUUUUUAUAAAACUCCUCCCUGUAGAAGUCCAAUGGCAGGAGGGAUCUGAUGUGAAAUUCAGAGCCAAUAAAGAGCACAGGGGAGUUGAGUAAUCAUUCUUCUCUGUAAGUGUUGGACGUUACGCAGCUUGCAGACUUCUUUUGCCUAUAAUUUGACUCUCUUACUCAUUCUAUUUCA